rnacentral:rRNA from 1 species
CCCCUCACCCUCGGGUGUUGAGACAGCCCGUCGGGGGCCAACCUAACUCUUGUUUUUACACUGAAACUCUGAGCACAAAACAUAAAUGAAUCAAAACUUUCAACAACGGAUCUCUUGGUUCUGGCAUCGAUGAAGAACGCAGCGAAAUGCGAUAAGUAAUGUGAAUUGCAGAAUUCAGUGAAUCAUCGAAUCUUUGAACGCACAUUGCGCCCUCUGGUAUUCCGGAGGGCAUGCCUGUUCGAGCGUCAUUUCAACCCUCAAGCCUGGCUUGGUGAUGGGGCACUGCUUCUUACCCAAGAAGCAGGCCCUGAAAUUCAGUGGCGAGCUCGCCAGGACCCCGAGCGCAGUAGUUAAACCCUCGCUCUGGAAGGCCCUGGCGGUGCCCUGCCGUUAAACCCCCAACUUCUGAAAAUUUGACCUCGGAUCAGGUAGGAAUACCCGCUGAACUUAAGCAUAUCAAUAAGCGGAGGA